rnacentral:lncRNA from 1 species
GGAGUCAGAGUCCCUUGUUUCAAAUGCAGACUUUGCAAUUCAUUUUGUGACCUUGGACCCCUGACUUCAUCUUUUUUAGAUCAGAUGGCCUGUGGAAGUCAGAAAUGGUAUUCAACUCUGCAGGAUCUUGCCUCAAACAUCUUUAAAAAACUACAUAGCCCUUCUACUUCUAAUCAAUACAAACCUCCACGAAUUUUCUAUUGUCAUCACCUUGAGUCGCAGAAAUGAUAGCAAUAAACAUAUAGGCAAAUAAACCCUUACAAAAUGUAAGCAAGAGUGUUGAAAAUAUAGACUCAGAAUUGAAAAAUUGUGGCAUAAAGAUGGCCAUUGAACUAUGACAACAGGAAAACUUAGGUCAUGUACUAUUGGCAAUCUUAAAAGGAUGAAAUAAAGCCUCAUAAUGUAUAAAGCGAAAACUUCUUAACAUAUAAGGAGAAUAAUAGAAACAUAAUUAGAGUUGU